rnacentral:rRNA from 1 species
AUUGAACGCUGGCGGCAGGCUUAACACAUGCAAGUCGAGCGGAAACGAUGGGAGCUUGCUCCCAGGCGUCGAGCGGCGGACGGGUGAGUAACACUUAGGAAUCUACCUAGUAGUGGGGGAUAGCUCGGGGAAACUCGAAUUAAUACCGCAUACGACCUACGGGAGAAAGGGGGCAGUUUACUGCUCUCGCUAUUAGAUGAGCCUAAGUCGGAUUAGCUAGAUGGUGGGGUAAAGGCCUACCAUGGCGACGAUCUGUAGCUGGUCUGAGAGGAUGAUCAGCCACACCGGGACUGAGACACGGCCCGGACUCCUACGGGGAGGCAGCAGUGGGGAAUAUUGGACAAUGGGGGAAACCCUGAUCCAGCCAUGCCGCGUGUGUGAAGAAGGCCUUUUGGUUGUAAAGCACUUUAAGCAGUGAAGAAGACCUAACGGUUAAUACCCGUUAGCGAUGACAUUAGCUGCAGAAUAAGCACCGGCUAACUCU